GACGAACGCUGGCGGCGUGCUUAACACAUGCAAGUCGAACGGAAAAGCCCUGCUUUUGUGGGGUGCUCGAGUGGCGAACGGGUGAGUAACACGUGAGUAACCUGCCCUUGACUUUGGGAUAACUUCAGGAAACUGGGGCUAAUACCGGAUAGGAGCUCCUGCUGCAUGGUGGGGGUUGGAAAGUUUCGGCGGUUGGGGAUGGACUCGCGGCUUAUCAGCUUGUUGGUGGGGUAGUGGCUUACCAAGGCUUUGACGGGUAGCCGGCCUGAGAGGGUGACCGGCCACACUGGGACUGAGAUACGGCCCAGACUCCUACGGGAGGCAGCAGUGGGGAAUAUUGCACAAUGGGCGGAAGCCUGAUGCAGCAACGCCGCGUGCGGGAUGACGGCCUUCGGGUUGUAAACCGCUUUCGCCUGUGACGAAGCGUGAGUGACGGUAAUGGGUAAAGAAGCACCGGCUAACUACGUG
rnacentral:rRNA from 1 species